rnacentral:misc_RNA from 1 species
UCCGGCUUGUCACCGGCAGUUUCAUUAAAGUGCCCAGCCCAACCUGAUGGCAACUAAUGAUGAGGGUUGCGCUCGUUGCGGGACUUAACCCAACAUCUCACGACACGAGCUGACGACAGCCAUGCAGCACCUGUGUGGGACCCGGCCGAACCGACGGUAAUCAUCUCUGAUCACCCUAAUCCCCAUGUCAAGAGCUGGUAAGGUUCUUCGCGUUGCUUCGAAUUAAACCACAUACUCCACCGCUUGUUCGAGCCCCCGUCAAUUCCUUUGAGUUUUAAUCUUGCGACCGUACUCCCCAGGCGGAGUGCUUAAUGCGUUAACGCCGACACUGAUAAAUUCCUCCACCAACAUCUAGCACUCAUCGUUUACAGCGUGGACUAC